rnacentral:rRNA from 1 species
UACGUAGGAGACAAGCGUUGUCCGGAAUUACUGGGUGUAAAGCGCGUGUAGGCGGUAGGCCAAGUCUGCUGUGAAAUCGCCCGGCUCAACUGGGCGCGGUCGGUGGAAACUGGUCAACUGGAGGACGGUAGAGGCGAGUGGAAUUCCCGGUGUAGUGGUGAAAUGCGUAGAGAUCGGGAGGAACACCAGUGGCGAAGGCGGCUCGCUGGGCCGGUCCUGACGCUGGAGACGCGAAGGCGUGGGGGAGCGAACGGG